UACACUCCUGCGGGAGGCAGCAGUGGGGAAUUUUGGACAAUGGGCGAAAGCCUGAUCCAGCAAUGCCGCGUGAGUGAAGAAGGCCUUCGGGUUGUAAAGCUCUUUUGUCAGGGAAGAAACGGUGAAAGCUAAUAUCUUUUGCUAAUGACGGUACCUGAAGAAUAAGCACCGGCUAACUACGUGCCAGCAGCCGCGGUAAUACGUAGGGUGCAAGCGUUAAUCGGAAUUACUGGGCGUAAAGCGUGCGCAGGCGGUUUUGUAAGUCUGAUGUGAAAUCCCCGGGCUCAACCUGGGAAUUGCAUUGGAGACUGCAAGGCUAGAAUCUGGCAGAGGGGGGUAGAAUUCCACGUGUAGCAGUGAAAUGCGUAGAUAUGUGGAGGAACACCGAUGGCGAAGGCAGCCCCCUGGGUCAAGAUUGACGCUCAUGCACGAAAGCGUGGGGAGCAAACAGGAUUAGAAACCCUGGUAGUCCCAU
rnacentral:rRNA from 1 species